rnacentral:rRNA from 1 species
GACGAACGCUGGCGGCGCGCCUAACACAUGCAAGUCGAACGAGCGAGAGAGAGCUUGCUUUCUCGAGCGAGUGGCGAACGGGUGAGUAGCGCGUGAGGAACCUGCCUCAAAGAGGGGGACAACAGUUGGAAACGACUGCUAAUACCGCAUAAGCCCACGGGUCGGCAUCGACCAGAGGGAAAAGGAGCAAUCCGCUUUGAGAUGGCCUCGCGUCCGAUUAGCUAGUUGGUGAGGUAACGGCCCACCAAGGCGACGAUCGGUAGCCGGACUGAGAGGUUGAACGGCCACAUUGGGACUGAGACACGGCCCAGACUCCUACGGGAGGCAGCAGUGGGGGAUAUUGCACAAUGGGGGAAACCCUGAUGCAGCGACGCCGCGUGGAGGAAGAAGGUCUUCGGAUUGUAAACUCCUGUUGUUGGGGAAGAUAAUGACGGUACCCAACAAGGAAGUGACGGCUAACUACGUGCCAGCAGCCGCGGUAAAACGUAGGUCACAAGCGUUGUCCGGAAUUACUGGGUGUAAAGGGAGCGCAGGCGGGAAGACAAGUUGGAAGUGAAAUCUAUGGGCUCAACCCAUAAACUGCUUUCAAAACUGUUUUUCUUGAGUAGUGCAGAGGUAGGCGGAAUUCCCGGUGUAGCGGUGGAAUGCGUAGAUAUCGGGAGGAACACCAGUGGCGAAGGCGGCCUACUGGGCACCAACUGACGCUGAGGCUCGAAAGUGUGGGUAGCAAACAGGAUUAGAUACCCUGGUAGUCCACACCGUAAACGAUGAUUACUAGGUGUUGGAGGAUUGACCCCUUCAGUGCCGCAGUUAACACAAUAAGUAAUCCACCUGGGGAGUACGACCGCAAGGUUGAAACUCAAAGGAAUUGACGGGGCCCGCACAAGCAGUGGAGUAUGUGGUUUAAUUCGACGCAACGCGAAGAACCUUACCAAGUCUUGACAUCCCUUGACGAUGCUGGAAACAGUAUUUCUCUUCGGAGCAAGGAGACAGGUGGUGCAUGGUUGUCGUCAGCUCGUGUCGUGAGAUGUUGGGUUAAGUCCCGCAACGAGCGCAACCCUUAUGGUCAGUUACUACGCAAGAGGACUCUGGCCAGACUGCCGUUGACAAAACGGAGGAAGGUGGGGAUGACGUCAAAUCAUCAUGCCCUUUAUGACUUGGGCUACACACGUACUACAAUGGCGUUAAACAAAGAGAAGCAAGACCGCGAGGUGGAGCAAAACUCAGAAACAACGUCCCAGUUCGGACUGCAGGCUGCAACUCGCCUGCACGAAGUCGGAAUUGCUAGUAAUCGUGGAUCAGCAUGCCACGGUGAAUACGUUCCCGGGCCUU